CUGGCUGAAGUCGGACGCUUAACCGACUGCGCCACCCAGGCGCCCCAACUUUUGCUUUUAAUGUCUAUGUUAUAUAGCCAUAGAUGUAGGAAUCCAAAUUAAGGGAGGAGAAAGCACAGAAGGACAACAAAUUGACCGUAGGGGAUCAGAUUGAAUCGACUACAAGGUGGUCAGUCAUCAUUUUGGACUCUCUGAAUACACUGGUGGACAGGUGUGUAAGUCUCAGAGUCAAGGAGCUUCUUCUAGGGGCUUGCAGUAUUUCACUACCCUCUCCCACCACUUGACAUCAUGAGCAGCCUGGAAAAUGUAUUUUCUUUAGCGGUCAUGGCUCAGGAUUCCUGAGUUGUCCACUUUUUUUUCUUAUGAAUCAGGAAGACAUGAGAACUAAAGCAUCUUGAAAGGAGUGUUUGACCAUUCUGGGUCAGAGGGAGGCCCGGUAUCAUGUGGACUCAGACAGGGUAGCCAGAGGCAGCCUGGCAACAUCACAGAAGCAACAUCAUAUCCAGGAAGGUUUUAAGUCUGAAGAGGGAGGAGAGAAAGAACAAUGAGGAGCUUAUUAUCGUGAAACAAAAUGGCAGCAGGCGUGUUCCUGUAACUGCGCUGGAGAAAGCCUACAGUCCAGAGAACCACAGAGGAACACACUAAGGCUGUCUGCUUCUUGUUACCUGUGGUCAGCUGUGGUCCAGAAGCAGAUGAACCUCCUUCUGACGUAUUGUCAGAAGAGCAGAAAUAGCCUAAUGCUACAUCACAAAGCCUCAUCAUCCAGCUCACUUUUUGUCCUCAGGCAGCAUUUUAUCUUCUGACUCCAUCACAGGAAAAAGGGUUUCUACCGGUCAGAAAUCUGGACCCAGCUAAUUGGAUGGCUCCGGCUUCUGGUCUAUCAUGAGGUUGUCAUCAAGCUGGGGACCAAGGCUACAGUCAUCUCAAGGCUCAGCUGGGGCUGGAUAAUCUGCUUCCAAGAUUGCUCCCAUGCCCUUGGUUCCUGUCUUAAUCUGCUAGGGGUGCCGUAACAAAAUGGGUGACGUCAACAGCAGAAAUUCAUUUUCUCACAAUUAUGAGGGCUACAAGUCUAAGAUCAAGGUGCCCGCAGGUCUGCUUUGUUCUGAGGCCUCUCUCCAUGGCUUGCAGAUAGCUGCUUUCUUGCUGUGUCCUUACAUGGCCUUUUCUCUGGGUGCAUGUGCGUCCUUGGUGUCCCUCUUUCUUAUAAGGACCGCAGUCAUAUUGGGCUAGCGUUCCACCUUAUUAUUACUAUUUUUUUAAUGUUUAUUUAUUUUCGAGGGAGACAGAGACAGAGUGUGAGCAGAGGAGGGGCAGACACACA